AUGGGAAAAAAUCACUUCAUUGCCCCACCAGACUUCGGACAAGUUUGUUUUAUGAAUGGACAGUACGGUGAUGCUGUUUUCUCUUAAAUCAAUACGAGUGGUACGAGUAAGAUGUUGAUGUUGGAGGUUGCUGGAUGAUCCCAAUAAAUGACGCUAAUCUGCUAGACGAGCUGGCGCCGGCUCCUCAUAAAAUAUCUAUACUAUUGUCGCUAUCGUCAGAGAGGCUACGCGUUAAAUAUCACGUACGCCAAGAAGAAAGCUACCCUACCACUUCUGAACUUGCAGACUCUUAAGUCUCUUUUUGCAGUACCGCUUAUUGCAGUAGAUGGAUAAUGAUGUAACAACUAACACAAGUGGUUCAAAUAGCCCCAGCAACAUAAUGAACUUGAUUCUCACGCGAGGUUAAACAAAUGUCGCGGAUUCGGUUGAUUGAUAGAAACAAUUGCUGGCAACUGCAUUGAUAUUCCGAACAAUUUAAAACAACCUCUGCAACAACUAGGUCGUUCUGGUAUUAUAUAACUUUCAUUUUCCGGAUAAUGCAUCAAAGUGAACUUGCAUCCAAUCUUACGAUUAAAGCAUGCAUUUUCUUUACUACAGGAAAUUUGCCAAUCAAAACGAUUUAUUAUUUUGUUGAGUUUUAGCCGCCCAAUUAUAUCCAUUAAAAUCAAAUUUAUUCGAAAUGCACAUUAAGCUCCAAAAAUAAAACAAAUUAUUCUUGCUGAAUUGCAUUGUUUCCAUUCUGUUGUAUUAUCCCAGCAUCAUUCAGUCUAAAACAAGCAAAAAGCUCAUCGAAAAAAAACGUUAGUCAUUUAUAAAGUGAUAAUCAUGAACAAGCAAACGAAUCUAGUAAAAUAUCAAAAAUCGCUAUCACCUGCACUUGGAACUUUAAACACUUAUAUUUUAUCAUUAUUAAUUUCACCUUUUAUUUUAUGCCUAUCAAAAUAAAAAAAAUACUGGUGGAAAAUUGACUAAGCCUAUUUUCUCGAAAAAUGAAAUAAAUAAUAUAUUUGCGAAUACUUUGGACUUUGGUCUGCAAUUGAAUAAAUCCAUGGCAUGCAUACCUUUUAUCUGCAACAUUAAAUAAUCAGUUUAAAACACCUCGGUAAACAUAUACAUAUGGCUUUUGUUUUGUCUGGUAGGAACCGAUACAGAUUGGCUGUCCAACAAAUGACAAAUCAAAUCGGUUUGUGUUAAAUGGAUAUUGAAUACCCAUCUAUUAAUAUUUCCUAGAUAACAUCUGUGCUGCAUUUUAGACGAAAAAAAGAUGUUUCUUUUUAUCUUUGCAAUAGUUCAAUUUUAGAAUAAGCAAAAUAUAAUUAAGGACAAUAAGAAAUAAAGUUUGGAACGAAGUGAAGGAGAGGACAUCCUCCAGCUAAAAUAGUAGCAAUAAUUU